rnacentral:lncRNA from 1 species
UUUUAAAUACGUCAUUAUAAAACCAAUAGUGUAAUAAAACAUCCGUAAUAUCAUGUCAUGUCAAAACCAAAGUAGAAAUAAUCAAACGUGUUAUCAUAAAAUAAUAUCAGAGUGUAAUCCCAAAGAUCUCAUGUGCGGAAAACCAUAGUGUGAUGCGUUGCGAUCAAGCCGGCUCCUUUCCUUUAAACACGAAGUACCUGAAACCAAAACUGAAAACCGUAAGCACGAAGCUUAGUGAGUUCCCCCAUCAUACCACAUACCANCACAUAUCAUACAUACUUCCGGGCAAUUCUGGGGUGCCCGACCUACCCAUGUCAAGCCAUUCUGGGGUGCUGACCUACCUGUGUCAAGCCAUUCUGGGGUGCUGACCUACCCAUGUCAAGCCAUUCUGGGGUGCUGACCUACCCAUGUCAAGCCAUUCUGGGGUGCUGACAUACCCGUCGGUCCUAACAACCGACCCUCGGGGACUAUUCCACCCCCUACUGCUACUAUCACAUAUAUCAUAACAUAAACAUACUAUUAGACAUAUCUGGGGUGCCUGAACUACCCUUCGGUCCUAACAACCGAACACGGGGACUGGUCCCCUCAUACUACCUCUAUCGCAUAUAACAUUAACAAGCCAGCAUGCAAACAUAUCAUCACAUACUGUCAGACGUAUCUAGGGUGUCUGACUACCCUUCGAUCCUAACAACCGAACACAACUACUAUCACAUACAACAUUUCAUGCUAGCAUAUAACAUAUCGGGUAGUAGCAAACCUAUAUGAUAUCACCAAGACAAUCAUCUAUCAUACGUCUCCUACUGGUGGGCCGACAUUGUGGCCUUAGACCCACCGCUACUGGAAGGUAACUCACCUCACACUGCUGAAGUUCCGAAGACAUAAUCACACAUUUGCUGAAGUCCCGCAGACUCGACCCCAGCUGCUGGCUGACAGAUUCCCGAACUGUCAACACCAAAAUAACACCCAAUUAAUAAUUGGGUCCCAAUACAUAACCAUAAGUACAUUCUUUGGGUAAUUACUACAUUACCCCUAGUUUGGCUUAUUCAAGCCCAAGGCCCAAUCCAAAUAUUAGCCAAUUUAUCACAAUGUUGGGAUUUUAGGUCCAUUAGGGCUUUAUUGGGCCUAUCAAGCCCACUAAAAUAUUAUUAUUAAAUAAUUCAUUGACCAUAACAUACUUCUAAACCCCAUCAUAAACAUUGUCAUGCACAAAGCUCGUGUGACUAUUAGUUAAAUUAAUGGUUAUGUAAUUUUCUCAACUCUAUAAAAAUAUAGUUAAACCCAAAAGUAUUUCAAAUUAGCUUUCAUGACAUAAAUUUGGUUGACCUUUAAAGAUUCACUAAGCUCCAUUUAUUUUCUUCAAAAUAUCAUUUAAUCGUAGAACACGAAUAAGUUUCAUCAACCCAUAGAUUAUGAUCCAGAUUAAAUUAAGUCCAACUAAUUCUUAUAAGGAAGCCCAAUUCAUUUAAAUCAGUUAGUUGCAUAAGCCCAUACUAGUUUACCCUAAUGGAUAGUAGCUCCAAAAGGGAAGUAGCUGAUGAAUACCUCCUACAUAGAUACAAGAAGGACCCCUAUUCAUUCGGCAAUCGAAGCCCUUCUUCAAUCCCGACAAUUUAAGCUUCUUCGGUGACAACCCCUCUAGCGCCGUCUAAUAUGACGACCGCAGAAUGAGAGAACCGACCUACUAGAGUUGCUUUCUCAGUUCUCUCUCCCCACUCUCCUCUCUAGCUGAAAAGGUGCUUAAACCUCGCCAUUGGAGUUGCUUACAAAUUGGACUGUUAACAGAUCGCUAGUCACAAUCGGUUAUCGCAUUUACUCUCCACAGAUUCGCUUGAGCCUCCCUUCGACUGGAACAAAAUCUCAUCAAGAAACUUAGUGUGAACGCCUAGAGUGAAUACGAUACUCAACAUAGCUUCUAAAACCCACCGAAAACCUGCUGUCGGAAGUCAAGUUCUCGUUAAACAUCCUCCCAAGUUGUCGGACUUCAUAUCCCCUGCCACCCAUUCCUAGCGAUGCACUUCCUCUCUCAUACCUUAAUUUUAUGAAUGAAAUAAAUCACACUUGCUCACUCCACCAGAGAUGAUAGCAGUCAUCGACUGUUAAGGGAGUGAGUCAAAGUUCACAAACACAACUACAUGAUGCAGCCUCUCAAGCGACACUCACUCAUUCUUAACCCUAAUCCUUGAAAAGUAUGAAUAUAUAUGUGGAAGAAGGGUGUUGGGGUCUUUUGAAGCAAUUCGGAUUAUUGGUCCUAAAAUGAGUAAGAAAUACUCCCAGCAGGAGCUACAUCCGAUCAGGGAGAAUGAGACAAGCCAAAUUCUGAAAUUGGCAUAAUUGGUCCUGAGGGUUUGAUCAGGUGGCGAUUUCUACCUUGAUUUAAGAUUCUUAUGACAAAACAAGUUUUGGAAAAUACAAUUUAACCCCUGGCCAGAAAUCCCUUACAAAUAAAGUCCAAAAUUUACCAAUCAGCCCCUCUUCUAUAAAUUGUUCUCAAAUGAAGUCUAUAUGUUACCAUUCAACGCCUAAGCUUCCAAAAUCUCUUCAAUUUGAGUCCCAAUAAUUCACCACUUAGUCCAUUCCUUCAAUAAUACUUAAAAAUUAAGUCCAGAUUUUACUCUUCAAUCCCCGAAACUCUAAAUCAUGUCAUUCGACUCCCCGAAACCAACACCCCGAUAAAUAUUAUGGACUUUAUGGCUAUUAUUCAUCCAUUAAUUUUAUCUGUUUAUUUAUUUAAUAAACGGGGUGUUACACGGUUGCUAGGACCGAAGGGUAGUUCAUACACCCCAGAUAUGUCUGAUAAUAUAUUAUGUUAUGAUAUGUGAUAGUAAUAGCAGUAGGGGGGGGAAAUAGUCCCCGAGGAUCGGUUGUCAGGACCGACGGGUAGUCAGCACCCCAGAAUGGCUUGACACGGGUAGUCA